GAUGAACGCUGGCGGCGUGCCUAAUACAUGCAAGUCGAGCGAACAGACGAGGAGCUUGCUCCUCUGACGUUAGCGGCGGACGGGUGAGUAACACGUGGAUAACCUACCUAUAAGACUGGGAUAACUUCGGGAAACCGGAGCUAAUACCGGAUAAUAUAUUGAACCGCAUGGUUCAAUAGUGAAAGACGGUUUUGCUGUCACUUAUAGCUGGAUCCGCGCCGCAUUAGCUAGUUGGUACGGUAACGGCUUCCCAAGGCAACGAUGCGUAGCCGACCUGAGAGGGUGAUCGGCCACACUGGAACUGAGACACGGUCCAGACUCCUACGGGAGGCAGCAGUAGGGAAGCGUCCGCAAUGGGCGAAAGCCUGACGGAGCAACGCCGCGUGAGUGAUGAAGGUCUUCGGAUCGUAAAACUCUGUUAUUAGGGAAGAACAAAUGUGUAAGUAACUAUGCACGUCUUGACGGUACCUAAUCAGAAAGCCACGGCUAACUACGUG
rnacentral:rRNA from 1 species